GGGGCCCAGUGUAGGGCUGAUGGGUAGGGACGUUGGUCCGUGGGGGACCCAGGCGCCACUUCUGGGCGCCGCAGUUUUUUAUUUUUUUUCUCUGCCCCAGGUGUCUCACCUUUCCCUCAUGGGCCUUCCGUCUGCCUUGGGGUACCCUUAGCAGGCCGAGGCACACACUGUGCUCGAAACAGUGUUGCCAGUGUCCACGGGGCCCAGCGCAGGGGCUGAUGGGAAGGCAUUUUCGUGCAUGGGGGACACAGGCCCCCCCUUCUCCGUGGCGCUUUUUUUUUUUUCCUGCCACAGGUGCCUCACCUAUCCUCCCUCAAACCUCACCUUCCCCUCAUGGGCCUUUUGUCCGCCUUGAGGUACCCCUAGCGGCCUGAGGCGCAUCCUGGGGUGGAACCAGGGACGCCAGGGUCCACUGGGCCCAGCGAAGGGGCUGAUGGGAAGGCACUUUCGUCUGUGAGGGACCCAGGCCCCACUCCUCUGCACCCGAGGUUUUUGUUUUGUUUUUUUUUUUUCUCUGCCCCAGGUGCCUCACCAGCUACUUGGGAGGCUGAGUCAGGAGAAUUGCUUGAGUCUGGGAAACCGAGGUUGCAGUGAGUCAAGAGAUCACAGCACUGCACUCCAGCCUGGACAAAAGAGUAAGAGUCCAUCUUAAAUAAAUAAAGAAAGAAACUAAAGACGUAAUAGGCAUCACUGAAAAAGUUGGAAUUAGUUAAUACAGGGAAACAUUAGGAUGAAUGAUAUAAAAGAACUAAAAUCAAAAUGAAAAUAAGUAUGCUGACUCCUCACACUCUCUUUUAUCUCCAUGAUGAAAUAAAUACAAUUUAAAUACCAAGAUAUGAUAUACAUAUUAAAUGAGUUUUGAGGAAGGACAGUAAAAAGUAACCAUGCAUCUUGUAUUAAUGAACCAGAUAACCUAUGACAUAUGGUUUUAGCAGUAAGAUUUGAUAAUAUAUGUAUUUCAUAUUAUUUCAUAAGAAAAAUUAUACAUGGAUUUUUCUAGUGGCUACUUCAUCUCCCACUUCUUUUCAUAGUACUGACUAGAUUUUAAAUUACUGAUCAUAAUGUGUCUUAGUUCACUGAGAUGAUAAAUAGCAAAACAUUUCGAAUUUAAAUAAAGGAAAGAAAUUUUAAGUUUGAUUUUUCCACUAAGCUGAGCUACCUUCCAAUUAGAUUAUUUGAGAUCUCACAAACAAAAUAGUAUCACAGCAGGACAUAACCUCAGGAUUCCUUUUCACAUCAAAGUUUUUUACUUUCAAAACUCCAACCUUUACACUAUAUUGAUAUAAACGGCGGCAAGACCCGUAGACGGGAGGUAAUGUUAUAAAUGUACAAAUUCCUUAUCUAUAUUUAGAUUUAUACUUUACAUAAAGAUGUUCCCAAAACAGAAAUAAUAUUAUUAGAAAUACUAAAAUUGAAUUUCAUCAAUACCUAAUUUAGAUAAUAAUUAUGAGAAAAAGCAUGUAUUACACUUCAUUGUACCUUAAAUUUUUCCCAUACCUUCAUUCACUAGAUUCACCAUCAAUUCAAAAUUAGAUAACCCAUGAAGGAGCUCAUGUAUAUGUAUAUAUACUGAUGAAGCACUACUAUGUUACUUUUGGAAUAAAAAUUAAUGCUUAUCUAUAUAACUUGCCCAUUAAAAUCCCCAAGCAUGGCAAUGUGUAUAGUCAAAAUAGCUACUAGAGUUCAUUUUUAAAUUCUUGUAUAUAUAAUUCUAAGAUAUAACAGUAAAUUAGAGUCUGGCACAUAAGGUUUUUUUAAAUAAAAGAGAAGCUAUAAAAAUGCACAUGAAAUUACACUCAUUAGAAGAGACUUAAUUUUUACAUAAACUUGGAUUUGCCACUAGUUAGAUUUGAGUCCUCAAACAUAAACUAUAUAUAAAUAAGGGUUGAUGUCAAUUAAUAUUAUGCUAGACUUAUGCCACGACAAAAGCAUCAUAAAAUAAUACCAGUCUUUAUGAUAUAAAUUAUGUAAUUGCUAAUAAAUAUUAUUCUUCUGAAUAAUUUUACCCUAGUAAUUUUCUUCAACCUGACAGGGUUUCAUGGACAAUUCGAACCAUGAGUAUAUGCAAAUGAUAAGGUCAGGAUUCAUAUUUUACCUCAACAUAGUAUAUUAUAAUCACUAUGCUAUCUUUGUUAAGGAUUUUCUAUUUAUUGUCACAAAAGGCAUUCCUUUAUAGUAUAACAACCUAAAUGUCAGGGUUUUCUUUAUUUAUUGUAUAAAUAUCUAUCUGCAUUAGUUCUAAAAAAUGUAUUAGCACUUUAAGGGCAGAACCCAAAUACUGUAAUACAUUUACACAGCACUGAGUACAUCAUGUAUAGUCUAAGUG
rnacentral:lncRNA from 10 species